ensembl:lncRNA
UUAAGCUGUCCUUUUAAUAAUAGAAAACAGUUGUCCUCAAAAUGGGAUAAUUUUAAAUAUAAAAAAAAUAACACACCACAGGGAACUGAAAAGAAAAAACAAAUUUAAUGAUGUAUUCAAGGCCAUCCAAACCACCCACCCACAUAUUAAGUGUUUGCUGGCUACACAGACACUAUAGUUGCCAUGGUUAAACCAAAGAUCUUCUUCGGAAAAGUAAACCCCUUGGUUGAAAAAAAAUAAAGCAAAAUAAAAUAUUGCAUGCGGUGAAUAAUCAAACUGUUAGGGCAACAUCCUGCUCCCUCUGAAAUCAGCAGGCUCUUUUCUGGAGGAUUGGUGCUAAAUUUUCAGCUGCCUGAUGGACCAAAAAUAGGGGGGCUGCAGCACGGAGAUGGGAGCUGCCUGGUGGAGGAGAGAGGAGACUGAAGCUGGGGGUGGCAGGGUGACUGCCCUGGUGAAUUAAACAUGGAAUUUAGUGGUACAGAUAACAUUGCUUUAUUUUCUUAUACAGAUGUAGCUCUGAAGAGCUGGCUGUCAUUUGAACAAUGGGCUUGAAAGGAGUGAAGCAAACUGCAAUCAGCAUAGUGUGGCAGAAGCCAAUGGCAAAGCUGCUGUAGAGAGACACAGCCUGAAUGAAACGCUGAUUGAUAUGCAGUCCAUGUGUCAUAAUAUGUGGCCAAGCCUGCUGGUACCUCAGAAUUACAAACACCAAGAGGCUGAAAAUUUCAACUGGCAGAAGAAAGAACCUAGCAGGGAGGCAGCUCUGGGAAACCCAUUCAUGGAUGCUGGAUCCAUGAGAAGAGCUGAGGAAAUGCAUACACCUGCACAUGGAGAGGAAUGUGUUUUGAUGGAAGUGUAACAAAUCCAGCCAUGAUUUCCUUUGAAGCCACAGUUCAAUAAGGUUUUGUAUUUGUAUUUGUGUUUUCCCAAACUUUUCAGAACCAGGAAGGGAGGGACCUCUCCUGCUGACUGCAGAGCCUCCUGCCUGCAUCCCUGCUACUGGAAGGAUGGAUGGACAGUGAGCCAAGAGCAAGUAUUGGAGCUGAAAUCCUUUUGUAACUCUGUAAGAGGACAGUGUUUCAAAGUAAGACCUAGAAAGCAUGCUUGUUUGCGGAAGAUGUCCUCACAACCUUCAUGGUACAUACCAAGAACUUCAAAAAUUGACAGAAAAUGAAGUGAAAAGGAAAAACGAUACUUUUCUGUACCU